rnacentral:rRNA from 1 species
GAUGAAUGCUGGCGGCGUGCCUAACACAUGCAAGUCGAGCGGCAGCGCGGUCUUCGGACCGGCGGCGAGCGGCGGACGGCUGAGUAACGCGUGGGAACAUACCCCAAAGUGAGGGAUAACAGCCCGAAAGGGUGGCUAAUACCGCAUAUGGUCUUCGGAUUAAAGGAUUUAUCCACUUUGGGAAUGGCCUGCGUACGAUUAGCUAGUUGGUGGGGUAAAGGCCUACCAAGUCUACGAUCGUUAACUGGUCUGAGAGGAUGAUCAGUCAGACUGGAACUGAGACACGGUCCAGACUCCUACGGGAGGCAGCAGUGAGGAAUCUUCCACAAUGGGCGAAAGCCUGAUGGAGCAACGCCGCGUGCAGGAUGAAGGCCUUCGGGUCGUAAACUGCUUUUAUGAGUGAAGAAUAUGACGGUAACUCAUGAAUAAGCACCGGCUAACUACGUGCCAGCAGCCGCCGUAA